UUGGGGUGUAGCUCAGCGGUAGUAGCGACGGUCUGUUAAACCGUAGGUCGUAGGUUCGAUCCCUACCUCCCCAGCUUA
rnacentral:tRNA from 1 species